rnacentral:tRNA from 1 species
UCUAAUGUGGCAGAAUAGUGCACCGGACUUAAACCCCGAAAAUAAAGAUCUUCUUUCUUUAGAA